GAUGAACGCUGGCGGCGUGCUUAACACAUGCAAGUCGAACGGAAAGGCUCCUGCUUGCAGGGGUACUCGAGUGGCGAACGGGUGAGUAACACGUGGGUGAUCUGCCCUGCACUUCGGGAUAAGCCUGUGAAACUGGGUCUAAUACCGGAUAGGACGAUGGUUUGGAUGCCAUUGUGGAAAGUUUUUCGGUGUGGGAUGAGCUCGCGGCCUAUCAGCUUGUUGGUGGGGUAAUGGCCUACCAAGGCGUCGACGGGUAGCCGGCCUGAGAGGGUGUACGGCCACAUUGGGACUGAGAUACGGCCCAGACUCCUACGGGCGGCAGCAGUGGGGAAUAUUGCACCAUGGGCGGAAGCCUGAUGAAGCGACGCAGCGUGGGGGAUGACGGCCUUCGGGUUAUAACCUCCUUUCGCUAGGGACGAAGCGCAAGUGACGGUACCUGGAGAAGAAGCACCGGCUAACUACGUG
rnacentral:rRNA from 1 species